rnacentral:precursor_RNA from 1 species
CUGUCAAAGCGGCGGUGAAAUGUAUCCGUCAUCAUAUCACAGCCACUUUGAUGUGGU